rnacentral:rRNA from 1 species
GUGAAGCGGCAACAGCUCAAAUUUGAAAUCUGGCCUCUUUGGGGUCCGAGUUGUAAUUUGUAGAGGAUGUUUCGGGUACCGCCUCGGUUUAAAUUUCUUGGAACAGAAUGUCAAAGAGGGUGAGAAUCCCGUCUUGGACCGGCGGUAGGGCCCAUGUGAAACUCCUUCGACGAGUCGAGUUGUUUGGGAAUGCAGCUCAAAAUGGGUGGUAAAUUUCAUCUAAAGCUAAAUAUUGGCCAGAGACCGAUAGCGCACAAGUAGAGUGAUCGAAAGAUGAAAAGCACUUUGAAAAGAGAGUUAAACAGUAUGUGAAAUUGUUGAAAGGGAAGCGCUUACAACCAGACUUGCGCGCGGCGGUUCCCCCUUCCUUUUGGUUGGGCUACUCCGUCGUGUCCAGGCCAACAUCGGUUCUGGGGGUCGGUUAAAGACCCUGGGAAUGUAUCUACCCUUCGGGCGUAGAC